CCUACGGGAGGCAGCAGUAGGGAAUUUUGCGCAAUGGGGGAAACCCUGACGCAGCAACGCCGCGUGAUCGAUGAAGCCCUUCGGGGUGUAAAGAUCUGUCAGUGGGGACGAAACCUGACGGUACCCACAGAGGAAGCACCGGCUAACUCCGUGCCAGCAGCCGCGGUAAUACGGGGGGUGCAAGCGUUGUCCGGAAUCAUUGGGCGUAAGGAGUUCGUAGGUGGCACGUUAAGUCUGGUGUUAAAGGCGGAAGCUCAACUUCCGUAGGGCACUGGAUACUGGCGGGCUUGAGUGCGGUAGAGGUAAAGGGAAUUCCUGGUGUAGCGGUGAAAUGCGUAGAUAUCAGGAGGAACAUCGGUGGCGUAAGCGCUUUACUGGGCCGUAAUUGACACUGAGGAACGAAAGCGGGGGUAGCAAAUGGGAUUAGAUACCCCAGUAGUC
rnacentral:rRNA from 1 species